GAGCUGUGUGCAAGUAUUGGGGCAGUUUGGGGCUGUUUUUCCUUUUCGGAGCUCCCGGUUUAUUGCCAAAGCGAAGCGUAAAACACACAUAAACAAACCCAAUGCCCCAUCCCUCUGCAAUGGGGACAUGGUGGGGACCCCUCUGCUGUGUGACACCCUGAUGCCCGUACAGCCUGCUCCGUGCAGACGUGAAUGGCAAAUGUGGAUGCAAAGUAGAUGAUUCCCCAGGAUUAACGCUGCAGCUCGAGCCUGCAAAAUGUAUGCGGGAGCCGUCUUUGGAGCGAGAUCGCUUAAACCUAAGCCUGCUUUAAGCUGGGUGCACUCGUGCAGCACUCACACACAGCACCACCCCUGCCAUGCUGCAAGGCC
ensembl:lncRNA